rnacentral:rRNA from 1 species
UUCACUUAUUAUGUGGUAAUUAAAAAGAGUGUUAUUUUAUUCUCUUUGUCGCCCCAACCAAAAUCUCUUGAAUUUACCCCUUAUUACUUCAACUAAAACAAUAACUCAAGAAAUUUAAGCUCUAUAGGGUCUGAUCGUCCUUUAAAUUUAUCUGGGCCUUUUCACCCAGAAGUGAAAUUCAAGUGUCAUAAAAGAGACAGUCACCUUCUCGUCUUGCCAUUCAUACCAGCCUCUAAUCAAGAGACAAAUGAUUAUGCUACCUUAGCACGGUCAGAAUACCGCGGCCAUUUACAUAAUACGCAUUGAGCAGGCAGUACCUCUUACUUUUCAAGAGGAGAUGUUUUUGAUAAACAGGCG